rnacentral:misc_RNA from 1 species
GAUGAAGAACGUAGCGAAAUGCGAUAAGUAAUGUGAAUUGCUGAAUUCAGUGAAUCAUCGAAUCUUUGAACGCACAUUGCGCCCGCCAGUAUUCUGGCGGGCAUGCCUGUUCGAGCGUCAUUACAACCCUCAGGCCCCCGGGCCUGGCGUUGGGGAUCGGCGGAAGCCCCCUGCGGGCACAACGCCGUCCCCCAAAUACAGUGGCGGUCCCGCCGCAGCUUCCAUUGCGUAGUAGCUAACACCUCGCAACUGGAGAGCGGCGCGGCCACGCCGUAAAACACCCAACUUCUGAAUGUUGACCUCGAAUCAGGUAGGAAUACCCGCUGAACUUAAGCAUAUCAAUAAGCGGAGGA